ACAGGGGAUUGCCCCAGUAACGGCGAGUGAAGCGGCAACAGCUCAAAUUUGAAAUCUGGCCCUAGGCCCGAGUUGUAAUUUGUAGAGGAUGCUUUUGGUGACGCGCCUACCGAGUCCCCUGGAAUGGGGCGCCACAGAGGGUGAGAGCCCCGUAUGGUUUGCCGCCGAGCCUCUGUAAAGCUCCUUCGACGAGUCGAGUAGUUUGGGAAUGCUGCUCUAAAUGGGAGGUAAAUUUCUUCUAAAGCUAAAUACCGGCCAGAGACCGAUAGCGCACAAGUAGAGUGAUCGAAAGAUGAAAAGCACUUUGAAAAGAGGGUUAAAUAGCACGUGAAAUUGUUGAAAGGGAAGCGCUUGUGACCAGACUCGCGCUGGGCGGAUCAUCUAGCGUUCUCGCUGGUGCACUCCGCCCGGCUCGGGCCAGCAUCGGUUUUCGCCGGGGGACAAAAGCCUCGGGAACGUGGCCCCCUUCGGGGGGUGUUAUAGCCCGUGGCAGAAUACCCCGGCGGGGACCGAGGACCGCGCUUCGGCAAGGAUGCUGGCGUAAUGGUCACCAGCGACCCGUCUUGAAACACGGACCGAGGAGUCAAGCAUUAGUGCGAGUGUUUGGGUGUAAAACCCGCACGCGUAAUGAAAGUGAACGUAGGUGAGAGCUUCGGCGCAUCAUCGACCGAUCCUGAAGUUUACGGAUGGAUUUGAGUAGGAGCAUUAACGCUUGGACCCGAAAGAUGGUGAACUAUACUUGAAUAGGGUGAAGCCAGAGGAAACUCUGGUGGAGGCUCGCAGCGGUUCUGACGUGCAAAUCGAUCGUCAAAUUUGAGUAUAGGGGCGAAAGACUAAUCGAACCAUCUAGUAGCUGGUUACCGCC
rnacentral:rRNA from 1 species